GGGAUUGUCUCCCUUAGACUGCUAUCUGGGAUUUACUCAGCUUGCAGGUCCCAGGAUUUCAGUAGGCAUUGCCUCAAAUGUAAGCAGGGUCUGAAGACUACCAUCCUGGAAUUUGAGAUGUUCUCUGGGUCAAGGGAGUUCUUUAAUAUUCUCAUCCGUUCCACCAUGCAUUGCUUGCAACACUUGCUCCUGUUGAUGUAGGAACCUGAUUUUUCUAAGAUUUUCCACAUGAUUACAUGUACAGUCCAUUUGUCCUUCAGGCACCACACAUGGCUGGCCAAGGAUGUGGCAUAAUAUCUCUCCAUGAUCGUGGCUGUAGAGGCACUGCUUGAAGGUGUUUCCAGAACAUCCAAUGUAAUUUUGAAUGCUGCUGUUGGUCUUACUGCUGCUGCUGUUGGUCUUACUGCUGCUGCUGUUGGAGUUGUUGCUUCUUUUGAUGUUGAUGCUGCUACUUCUGCUAUUGUUUGUGCUAGUGUUGUUGUUAAUGCUAACAUAAGGGACGUCAUCAGUGGCAGAGUUGGUGUUGGCAUUGUUGUUGUUGUCAUUUUUGAUGUCUCUAUUGAUGCUGCUAUAGGCAUCAUUGUUGUUGAAGCUGUUAUCAGUGCUAUAGUGGUGGUUGUUAUUGUUGAUAUUAUUAUCAUUAUCAGCUUUAUCGUUAGCAAAGGUGCUGCUGCUAUUUCUGCUAAAGUUGCUGCUCUUGCUAUUAUCACUGCUAUUGCUGUAGAUGGUAGAAAAUCUGCUGCUGCCAUUAGGGUCAGAUACUACUUCAGCCUCAUAAACGACCCCCUUGGUUUUGCAUUGGCCUCCCACUGAGCAUCUGCUAUAGUUCCUGCAUGAGUAUUCUUGCCUACACAUGUAGCCUAGGGGUGUUAACUAAAAUACUCUUAAUACUGGGUGUGCAAAUAAAAGAGACUGUUAGGUUGUGUCUGUUGAAUAAGCAUCCAUACCUAUGUGAUUGUGUAAAGUGCUUAUCUACUAGCCUAAGGAAUAUCCUACCUACAUAUGAUUUUACAUUGAGGAAGAAGGGAGGGGGGAAACCAAAUAAUAUUUCGCUGGUGCUUCCUUCUGUGGAUGUUAGGGCCUGGCAUGUAGGAGAUGCAGUCCCUAAACCUGCUAGCAGUUAGGGUCUUGUUAUAGUAGGGGUCUACUGUGUUCAAAAUUUUUUGGCUAGAGGACAGGUUUAAGAUCCUUUUACUGACACCCUUCACCAGGUUUCUGAACACAGGAAGCUGUGUCGAUAUAUGCCAGCCUUUCAUAUGGUUUGCAGUACGGCCUGUAUGUACCAGAGCCCAAGUCUAAGAAGUUUGUAAUGGUGAGGUUGGUCCCAAUUGUAGUUAUCAGUCCCAUGAUCUAAGGGUGCUAAUCAGAUCUUUUCUAAGCUUAUCUAGGGUGUGCCCAUUAGUCCUUCUAGAGAUAGCCAGGGCAUCAUCUCAGUAGAUACCAAAGAGGACAGAGUGGAAUUUCUUCUUUAGGGUAUCCAAUGAGGUCUCAUACGUCAGCAUUGUCAUAGGCCAGCAUUACUAUGUCAAAAAACCCCACGGGGUCAGUUUUGUUGACCCAGGUCAAACCUUUAUUAAACAGGACCUGACAUGCAUGAUGACAUCUAUGUCUCUGUUGCUAAUAUCAGUGAAGCCUCUAGUGAAGGACAGUACCUUGACCAGUAAUCCUUUUGACAGGUGUCGAAUUGGGUCAACUUUGCACUUCCCCUCUCCUUGUUGGUAUUAAAUCAGGUAAUCACUUUGUUAGUGCUACACCCUAGGGAGAGAUUGGUGGCUCUCCUUAUAUGUGCUACAUCUAAGUUGUUGGCUAACUGUUUGGUUUUACUGUUGAUGUUGUUGUAUAUGUGGAGGGGAGCACUCCUGUAGUUCUCUGUAAUGUGGUCUUCUAAUAGCCUAUAAGUGUGGGUGUCUAUCUUAUAUAGUUUUCUUUUUGUCUUAUCUGAGAAGAUUAGGGACCUGUCAGAAUUUUUUUAUGUGCAUAGUGGAACAGGCAAGGAAAUUAAAUAACUCCCUCAACCUGGGGAACAUUUCAAAUUCCAGGAUGGAAGUCUUCAGACCCUGCUUACACUUCAGGUUAUUCCUACUGAAAUCGCAAGCUGACUGGGUGGAUUCUGGAUAGCAGUCUAAGGGGGACAAUCCAUUGCACUUGCCGUUCCCCCUUUGUGAAUUCAGUAACUAGCUACAAAGCCUUUUGUCCCUCCAUUUUGAAGAGACAGGCCACCAGUCAUUAGGGUCUGAUGAGACGUUGUAAAGCUAAGCACUUUAUGGACCCUGGCUAACCCUAUAAACUGGCUAUAACUAUCUUUAUCUAAGAGUAUCUCUUUUACUUGUUUCAGUCAUUGAUCUAUGGUUAAACCAUUUACGAAAAAUCCUUUUUGUUCAUUUUCCUCAUUUUCAGCCCGUGCCAGUGUGGUAAAUAAUGUAGUUCUUAGAGCUAUUUGGUGUCUAUUUCUAGCAUGUGGUGCUACUCAUUAGUGCUCUUACUACCAGAUUCACUCAUAAGGCUUUGAUCAGUCUGGGGCUAUAGUAGAAGAAACUUGCUCAUAGUGCCAUGCAGUGGGACUGAACCCAGAACCAUGUGGUUAGAAAGCAAGCUUUUUACCACAUAGUCACAUGGUAUAUCCUUACAGGAUAUUUAGAAAUAUCAGUAGCUACUCACUUCUUCAUUUUGUAUAAAAGGGCUAAAUUUCUAUGAAGCAUUGCUUUAAAUAGCAGUCUAUCAUAAUAGGGUAGAUAUACAAACUGAUACAUCUAACUGAUGAGAUGUACAAGAGGAACAAAGUGAACAUAUUGAUUUACAAUCAGAAAAGUUUUGCUUUCCUGAGAUUAUGCUGAUGCUUACAGAGUGCUCUACUGUGAAAAACGUGCAUGUAUAUAUGCGUGUGUAUAUGUUUAGAAGUAAAAUGGAUACAUAUAAAAAAGGUCCAACUUACAUUGGUCCAAUUUUACUGUGUAUACGUUUAUGUAUACAUAUCUAUAUGUGUGUAUGUAUGAGUAUAUAUGUAUAUAUAUAUAUAUACACAUGCACAUACACACACACAUCCAUAAAUACAUACAUACAAUGGCCUUUUGCUCAGAUGCAGGAGUAGCUCACUAACCAGCCACAUGGUUGCAGGUUCAGUCCCACUGCAUGGCACCUUGGGCAAGUGUCUUCUACUAUAGUCUCGGAUCGACCAAAGCCUUGUGAGUGGAUUUGGUAGACAGAAACUGAAAGUAGCCUGGUGUAUGUGUGUAUGUGUGUGUGUGUGUGUGUGUGUGUGUGUGUUUGUCCCCCUAACAUCACUUGACAACCAAUGCUGGUGUGUUUACAUCCCAGUAACUUAGCAGUUCAGCAAAAGAGACCAAUACAAUAAGUACUAGGCUUACAAACAAUAAGUCUUGGGGUUGAUUUGCUCAACUAAAGGUGGUGCUCCUGCAUGGCCAUAGUCAAAUGACUGAAACAUGUAAAAGAAUAAAAGAAUAUUCUUUGAUCCAAUUCCAUCCACAAAGCAUUGCUCAUGCUGAGUAUAAAACAUUUACCCAAGGUAUCACACAAUGAGAUCAAACCCAGAGCUGUGUGGUUGCAAGACAAUGUUAAUUACUUAGCUACACCAGCAUUUAAGGUUUUUAAAUUAUGGUAAAUUACAUCUUACCAUUGUAGUACAUUUAGAAAUGCCAGGAUAUUGAAACCAUGAUAUCAAAAUUAUGUCAAAAAUAUACUUCAGAAUAUUACAAAUUACAUACGUUUCUUCUUUUGAUUUUAAUUUUAAAUCUAUUUGUAGGAAAGUUUAUAUUAUGCCUGUCUAUGUCUGUGUUCUCUCAUCAUUUAUAAUAUUUGCACUCCAUUUGAUUAAACCAAUUGUAUCAUUUCUCACCCUCUUGAAGGGUUUGGCAUUUGCUUUAACUGUG
rnacentral:lncRNA from 1 species